rnacentral:rRNA from 1 species
UACGUAGGGGGCUAGCGUUGUCCGGAUUUAUUGGGCGUAAAGAGCGUGUAGGCGGCCAGGUAGGUCUGCUGUGAAAACUCGAGGCUUAACCUCGAGAUGUCGGCGGAAACCAUCUGGCUAGAGUCCGGAAGAGGAGAGUGGAAUUCCUGGUGUAGCGGUGAAAUGCGCAGAUAUCGGGAGGAACACCAGUGGCGAAGGCGACUACCUGGCCUGUUCUUGACGCUGAGGCGCGAAAGCUAGGGGAGCAAACGGG